rnacentral:sRNA from 1 species
GCUGGGUGUGGUGGUGUGCACCUGUAAUCCCAGCUACUCUGGAAUGCUGAGGCAGGACAAUUGCUUGAACCUGGGAGUUGGAGGUUGCAGUGAGCCGAGAUUACGCCAUUGCAUUCCAGCCUGGGUGACAAGAGUGAGACGCUGUCUUUUUUUUUUUUUUUUGAUACAGAGUCUCACACUGUCGCCAGGCUGGAGUGCAGUGGUGCAAUCUUGGCUCACAGCAACCUCCGCCUCCCAGGUUCAAGUGAUUCUCCUGCCUCA